rnacentral:rRNA from 1 species
AUUGAACGCUGGCGGCAGGCCUAACACCUGCAAGUCGAGCGAGUGGCGGACGGGUGAGUAAUGUCUGGGAAACUGCCCGAUGGAGGGGGAUAACUCCUGGAAACGGUAGCUAAUACCGCAUACCAUCGGAUGUGCCCAGGUGGGAUUAGCUAGUAGGUGGGGUAAAGGCUCACCUAGGCGCCGAUCCCUAGCUGGUCUGAGAGGAUGACCAGCCACACUGGAACUGAGACACGGUCCAGACGCCUACGGGAGGCAGCAUGGGGGAAUAUUGAACAAUGGGCGCAAGCCUGAUGCAGCCAUGCAGCGUGUAUGAAGAAGGCCUUCGGGUUGUAAAGUACUUUCAGCGGGGAGGCGUUACCCGCAGAAGAAGCACCGGCUAACUCCGUGCCAGCAGCCGCGGUAAUAC